GCAUUUGUAACUCAAAGACUCAGAGUACCGGUCUUGUAAGCCGGGUGUUGGAGGUUAAAGUCCUCCCUUCUGCU
rnacentral:tRNA from 1 species